UUAAGUUAUUAAGGGCGCAUGGUGGAUGCCUUGGCACUAGGAGCCGAUGAAGGACGGGACUAACACCGAUAUGCUUCGGGGAGCUGUAAGUAAGCUUUGAUCCGGAGAUUUCCGAAUGGGGGAACCCAACUUGUUAUGCAAGUUAUCACCUAAUGAAUAUAUAGUUAGGUUGAAGGUAGACGUUGUGAACUGAAACAUCUCAUUAGCAACAGGAAUAGAAAGAAAAAUCGAUACCGUCAGUAGCGGCGAGCGAAAUCGGUAGAGCCCAAACCAAAGUGCUUGCACUUUGGGGUUGUAGGACUGACAUUGUGGAGUUACAAAGUUAACAUUUAGCAGAAUCAGCUGGGAAGCUGAGCGAGACAGGGUGAUAGCCCCGUAUGCGAAAAGUGUUGACCUCCCGUCAGGAUCCUGAGUACGGCCGGACACGUGAAAUCCGGUCGGAAUCCGCGAGGACCAUCUCGCAAGGCUAAAUACUCCCUAGUGACCGAUAGUGAACCAGUACCGUGAGGGAAAGGUGAAAAGCACCCCGGAAGGGGAGUGAAAAAGUUCCUGAAACCAUGUGCCUACAAGAAGUUAGAGCCCGUUAAUGGGUGAUAGCGUGCCUUUUGUAGAAUGAACCGGCGAGUUACGAUACCAUGCAAGGUUAAGGUGGAAAGACCGGAGCCGUAGCGAAAGCGAGUCUGAAAUGGGCGAAUUAGUAUGUUGUUGUAGACCCGAAACCAGGUGACCUACCCAUGUCCAGGGUGAAGGUGCGGUAAAACGCACUGGAGGCCCGAACCCGUGCAUGUUGAAAAAUGCUGGGAUGAGGUGUGGGUAGCGGUGAAAUUCCAAUCGAACUUGGAGAUAGCUGGUUCUCUCCGAAAUAGCUUUAGGGCUAGCCUCGGAAUGUAGCGUGUUGGAGGUAGAGCACUGUUUUGGUGCGGGGCCCAUCUCGGGUUACCAAAUUAAGAUAAACUCCGAAUGCCAAUCACGUAUGUCCGGGAGUCAGACAGUGAGUGAUAAGAUCCAUUGUCGAAAGGGGAACAGCCCAGAUCGUCAGUUAAGGUCCCUAAGUGUGUGUUAAGUGGAAAAGGAUGUGGAGUUGCAUAGACAACUAGGAUGUUGGCUUAGAAGCAGCCACCAUUUAAAGAGUGCGUAAUAGCUCACUAGUCGAGUGAUUCUGCGCCGAAAAUGUACCGGGGCUAAACACACCACCGAAACUACGGGUGCCACGUAAGUGGCGCGAUAGGAGAGCGUUCUAAGGGCGAUGAAGUCAGACCGUGAGGACUGGUGGAGCGCUUAGAAGUGAGAAUGCCGGUAUGAGUAGCGAAAGACAGGUGAGAAUCCUGUCCACCGUAUGACUAAGGUUUACUGGGGAAGGCUCGUCCUCCCAGGGUUAGUCGGGACCUAAGGCGAGGCCGAGAGGCGUAGUCGAUGGAUAACAGGUUGAGAUUCCUGUACCAGGUGAACAUGUUUGAACGAUGGAGGGACGCAGAAGGCUAACGGAUCCCAGCUGCUGGAUAUGCUGGGUUAAAUAAUAAGUCUUAGAUCGAGUUAAAUGCUUUAUCUUUUAAGGACAAGUUAUGAUGAGGACCGAAAUAAAGUAGGGAAGUCCGUGAUGUCACGCUGCCGAGAAAAGCUUCUAGUUAGUGUUUACCUGCCCGUACCGCAAACCGACACAGGUAGUCGAGGAGAGCAUCCUAAGGUGAGCGAGUGAACUCUCGUUAAGGAACUCGGCAAAAUGACCCCGUAACUUCGGGGGAAGGGGUGCUCAGCGAAAGCUGAGCCGCAGUGAAUAGGCCCAGGCGACUGUUUAUCAAAAACACAGGUUUCUGCAAAAUCGUAAGAUGACGUAUAGGGGCUGACGCCUGCCCGGUGCUGGAAGGUUAAGAGGAGUGCUUAGCUUCAGCGAAGGUAUGAAUUGAAGCCCCAGUAAACGGCGGCCGUAACUAUAACGGUCCUAAGGUAGCGAAAUUCCUUGUCGGGUAAGUUCCGACCCGCACGAAAGGCGUAAUGAUUUGGGCAC
rnacentral:rRNA from 1 species